AUUGAACGCUGGCGGCAGGCCUAACACAUGCAAGUCGAACGAGUGGCGGACGGGUGAGUAAUGUCUGGGACACUGCCUGAUGGAGGGGGAUCACUACUGGAAACGGUAGCUAAUACCGCAUACCCUCGGAUGUGCACAGAUGGGAGUAGCUUGUGGGUGGGGUAAAGGCUCACCUAGGCGACGAUCCCUAGCUGGUCUGAGAGGAUGACCAGCCACACUGGAACUGAGACACGGGCCAGACUCCUACGGGAGGCAGCAGUGGGGAAUAUUGCACAAUGGGCGCAAGCCUGAUGCAGCCAUGCCGCGUGUAUGAAGAAGGCCUUCGGGUUGUAAAGUACUUUCAGCGGGGAGGCGUUACCCGCAGAAGAAGCACCGGCUAACUCCGUGCCAGCAGCCGCGGUAAUUC
rnacentral:rRNA from 1 species